UCUUAGACAUAAAUUAAUCAUUUUUACCAGAGUACUACGAACAUUAAGUUUAAAACUCAAAGAGCUUGGCGGUGCUUUAGACUUCUCAGGGGAACCUGUCUCGUAAUCGACAGUCCACGAACCAACCUCACCUUUCCUCGCAACCAGUAUGUAUACCGUCGUCGUCAGGUAACUUUUUAAAAUAUAGAAGUUAGCAAUCAAAUAAAUUAAUUCUUACGUCAGAUCAAGGUGCAGCUCAUGGAAAGGAGUAGAUGGGUUACAAUUAAAAUUCAUAACUACGAACCUAACUUUUAACAAGUUUUCGAAGGCGGACUUGAAAGUAAAACCCAGCAGCCAAAUGUUUUGAAUUAAGCUCUGAAGCG
rnacentral:rRNA from 1 species